UACGUAGGUGGCAAGCGUUGUCCGGAUUUACUGGGCGUAAAGGAUGCGUAGGCGGAUAUUUAAGUCAGAUGUGAAAACCCCGAGCUUAACUUGGGGACUGCAUUUGAAACUGGAUAUCUAGAGUGUGGGAGAGGAGAAUGGAAUUCCUAGUGUAGCGGUGAAAUGCGUAGAGAUUAGGAAGAACACCAGUGGCGAAGGCGAUUCUCUGGACCAUAACUGACGCUGAGGCAUGAAAGCGUGGGUAGCAAACAGG
rnacentral:rRNA from 1 species